UACGAAGGGGGCUAGCGUUGCUCGGAAUCACUGGGCGUAAAGGGUGCGUAGGCGGGUCUUUUAAGUCAGGGGGUGAAAUCCUGGAGCUCAACUCCAGAACUGCCUUUGAUACUGAAGAUCUUGAGUUCGGGAGAGGUGAGUGGAACUGCGAGUGUAGAGGUGAAAUUCGUAGAUAUUCGAAGAACACCAGUGGCGAAGGCG
rnacentral:rRNA from 1 species